rnacentral:rRNA from 1 species
UACGGAGGGAGCUAGCGUUGUUCGGAAUUACUGGGCGUAAAGCGUACGUAGGCGGUUAUUCAAGUCAGAGGUGAAAGCCCGGGGCUCAACCCCGGAACUGCCUUUGAAACUAGAUAGCUAGAAUCUUGGAGAGGUCAGUGGAAUUCCGAGUGUAGAGGUGAAAUUCGUAGAUAUUCGGAAGAACACCAGUGGCGAAGGCGACUGACUGGACAAGCAUUGACGCUGAGGUACGAAAGCGUGGGGGAGCAAACAGG